GAAAGAGUUUAGAUAAUUCUGAUUUUUAAUAUUAAAAAAAUAAAAAGUGAUACAAUAAUACUAUCUGUACACCUAAAAAUAAAUAUGAAUUUUACAUCUUGUCAAUCUAAAUUUUAUACAAUUUUUUUUUUUUUGAGAGAUAGAUAACAUAUUAUUCGCUUCGUUUAUUUUAUUUAAAAAUAAACUUAGUUAGAAAUGUGAAUCAAUUAGGAUUUGAAUUUGGGACCUCGGGCACCAACCAUCAAACCCUUUGUCACUUGCGGUAGGAGGGUCUGUCAAUUUUGGUAUUUUUAGUCAUAAAAAGAAUAAAGCAUGAU
rnacentral:lncRNA from 1 species